UACGGGGGGAGCAAGCGUUGUUCGGAUUUACUGGGCGUAAAGGGCGCGUAGGCGGCCACCGCAAGUCGGUUGUGAAAUCUCUGGGCUUAACCCAGAAAGGUCAACCGAUACUGCGGGGCUAGAGUGCAGGAAGGGGCAACUGGAAUUCUCGGUGUAGCGGUGAAAUGCGUAGAUAUCGAGAGGAACACCUGCGGCGAAGGCGGGUUGCUGGGCUGACACGUGACGCUGAAGCGCGAAAGCUAGGGGAGCGAACGGG
rnacentral:rRNA from 1 species